rnacentral:rRNA from 1 species
UACGAAGGGGGCUAGCGUUGCUCGGAAUCACUGGGCGUAAAGGGUGCGUAGGCGGGUCUUUAAGUCAGGGGUGAAAUCCUGGAGCUUAACUCCAGAACUGCCUUUGAUACUGAGGAUCUUGAGUUCGGGAGAGGUGAGUGGAACUGCGAGUGUAGAGGUGAAAUUCGUAGAUAUUCGCAAGAACACCAGUGGCGAAGGCGGCUCACUGGCCCGAUACUGACGCUGAGGAGCGAAAGUGUGGGGAGCGAACAGG